rnacentral:pre_miRNA from 1 species
UUGCUACUCCCUCCGAUCCAUAUUACUUGUCGCUCAAAUGGAUGUAUCUAGACGUAUUUCAGUGCUAGAUACAUCCGUUUGAGCGACAAGUAAUAUGGAUCAGAGGGAGUAUUGA